UACGAAGGGGGCUAGCGUUGCUCGGAAUCACUGGGCGUAAAGGGUGCGUAGGCGGGUCUUUUAAGUCAGGGGGUGAAAUCCUGGAGCUCAACUCCAGAACUGCCUUUGAUACUGGCGAUCUUGAGUCCGGGAGAGGUGAGUGGAACUGCGAGUGUAGAGGUGAAAUUCGUAGAUAUUCGCAAGAACACCAGUGGCGAAGGCGGCUCACUGGCCCGGUACUGACGCUGAGGUGCGAAAGCGUGGGGAGCAAACAGG
rnacentral:rRNA from 1 species